UACGAAGGGGGCGAGCGUUGUUCGGAUUUACUGGGCGUAAAGGGCGCGCAGGCGGCUAUCCAAGUCAGGCGUGAAAGCCCCGGACUUAACCUGGGAGGUGCGUCUGGGACUGGGUGGCUAGAGUUCGGGAGAGGAGAGUGGAAUUCCCAGUGUAGAGGUGAAAUUCGUAGAUAUUGGGAAGAACACCGGUGGCGAAGGCGGCUCUCUGGACCGAGACUGACGCUGAGGCGCGAAAGCGUGGGGAGCAAACAGG
rnacentral:rRNA from 1 species